AUUGGCCUCUGCUGCUACUGAAGGUGACAGUGUGGCGUCAGGAGGGGCCAGUUCACACAGGGGGGAAUCUGUGGAAUCUUUUCCCAUACUGAGCCGAAAUGCGAGCAUGAACAUGGAACGAGACUGGGACAACGGCUCAACAGCCUCAUCUAUCACAUCUGUAGCAGAAUACAAUGGGCCCAAAUUAUUUAAGGAGCUUAGACGCGUAGAUGCUCUCACCAUCCACGGUCACCUGUGGCAGGCCAAGCGGCCGAGCACGUCAAAGAGAAAAUGAUCCCGCUGCUUUCCCAUAGGCUCAUGGAUCCAUCCGCUGCUUUCUGAUUGGCUACUGGGUUAUAUUCCAGUCUCAUAAACUGCCAUUUUGAUAAUGAGCAUGCCGGCUAAUAUUCUAUUGGUCCACUAGACUCCCGUUUUCCUAUUGGCCACUGCGCUGUUACACAAGCAGAGCUGAGGAAGUCAGAAAUGGGUGGAGCUUGAUGUUUGAUUGACAGAUUUAAUGAAUGUGUUUCAGGAUUACGUCAUCGUUCAGUGUUGGUUUUUUUUUAGGCAGGAAUCUGCAUGUGACACUUUUCUGUUUGAUUUUACCAUAGUAUUAAUUUACACAGGGAACAAAAGACGACACUCCCACUACUUGAACUAUGAAUUAUGGUUGCUAUCGUUACUCGGGCACGUGCAAAUGUGUGUACGAGCGCGUCCGUUUUUUUUUGCAUUUCUCAUACCUCUCCAUAUGCUGCUGUUCAUCCAUGACACUCACUUUAGCAGUGCAAUGCAAUGAACACGUGACAAGGGAUCUGAGUGUGUGUGU